UGAACCGCAUGGUUCAGACAUAAAAGGUGGCUUCGGCUACCACUUACAGAUGGACCCGCGGCGCAUUAGCUAGUUGGUGAGGUAACGGCUCACCAAGGCGACGAUGCGUAGCCGACCUGAGAGGGUGAUCGGCCACACUGGGACUGAGACACGGCCCAGACUCCUACGGGAGGCAGCAGUAGGGAAUCUUCCGCAAUGGACGAAAGUCUGACGGAGCAACGCCGCGUGAGUGAUGAAGGUUUUCGGAUCGUAAAGCUCUGUUGUUAGGGAAGAACAAGUGCCGUUCAAAUAGGGCGGCACCUUGACGGUACCUAACCAGAAAGCCACGGCUAACUACGUGCCAGCAGCCGCGGUAAUACGUAGGUGGCAAGCGUUGUCCGGAAUUAUUGGGCGUAAAGGGCUCGCAGGCGGUUUCUUAAGUCUGAUGUGAAAGCCCCCGGCUCAACCGGGGAGGGUCAUUGGAAACUGGG
rnacentral:rRNA from 1 species